AGAUUGUGGGCAAAUUGUGGAUACUUUCUGGGCUUCAUUUGUCUGAACUUUGAAAUAAGGGAUCUCUGCUAUUUGGCCCCUGAGUAUAUCUUUCAACUCUAAGAGAUGAAGUAUGGAAGUCCCAUCUUCAAAUAACAACACAUGAAAAAGUUUCGUUGCACAACAAUGAGAAAAUAUUUAACACUACUGGACUGUAUACUUCAAAAUGGAUCUCAUUUGCUAAAUUUUAUGUUAUGUGUUUGUGUUUUCUUA
rnacentral:lncRNA from 1 species